rnacentral:rRNA from 1 species
AGUGAACGCUGGCGGUAGGCCUAACACAUGCAAGUCGAACGGCAGCACAGUAAGAGCUUGCUCUUACGGGUGGCGAGUGGCGGACGGGUGAGGAAUACAUCGGAAUCUACUUUUUCGUGGGGGAUAACGUAGGGAAACUUACGCUAAUACCGCAUACGACCUACGGGUGAAAGCAGGGGAUCUUCGGACCUUGCGCGAUUGAUUGAGCCGAUGUCGGAUUAGCUAGUUGGCGGGGUAAAGGCCCACCAAGGCGACGAUCCGUAGCUGGUCUGAGAGGAUGAUCAGCCACACUGGAACUGAGACACGGUCCAGACUCCUACGGGAGGCAGCAGUGGGGAAUAUUGGACAAUGGGCGCAAGCCUGAUCCAGCCAUACCGCGUGGGUGAAGGAAGCCUUCGGGUUGUAAAGCCCUUUUGUUGGGAAAGAAAAGCAGCAGGUUAAUACCCCGCUGUUCUGACGGUACCCAAAGAAUAAGCACCGGCUAACUUCGUG